rnacentral:misc_RNA from 1 species
CCGCCACGGGCUGGAGAGAAGCUUGAUAGUAGAGGGUCUGGACCCGGGUCGGACAAUGGUGAGUCGGUUGAACUGUUGGCGGAUGUCGACUCUUCGGUUCUUGAUGAACUAUUGCAGACUUUUAAAAGAUACCGUUUAAGAUCAAAGGUUGAGAUUGACAAUGUGGCAGAAAACUUCUCUUGCUGGCAGCGUUUUGGUGGGAAACUUUCUGAAAAAUCAAUAGUUGAAGAAGAACCAGAGGCAGCUAGCAUUGGCUGGGGCUCUGGUGUUGAUCAUUGUGCCAGUUCAACUGUACAUGGGGAUGAUCAUGGAUGGCAAUGGUUUAAGGAUCCUAGAUUGGAAUGUCUUGGUUUCCGAGGAAUCUUUCCAUCUAAUAAGACACCACCUAUGGUUGAAGUUGACAGACAAACAGAUGAAGAAAAUUAUCAACUGGGGCGAAUAGAGAAUGGAGUUGCUGAAGGCUCAACUGAGAUUCCCAAAGGUGAAGCAAUUCCACUUGAAUACAAUCUUACCAGUUUGAAUGCAAUAAGCUUUGACAAAGGAUGCUAUGUGGGUCAAGAGCUUAUUGCUCGCACAUACCACAGGGGGGGGUCAUUCGAAAGCGUUUGCUUCCUUUAAUGUUUCUAGAUCAUAGUGGAAAAGAGGUGGAGCAAAAAGUUGCUCCCGGCUCAGAAGUGAUUGACACUGCAUCUGGCAAGAAGGCAGCUGCACUUGGCUGUCGAGGGCUCGGUCUUUUGCGAUUGGAGGAAGCAUUUAAAACUUCAGGUUCUUUAACCAUACAAGGACAGGAGGAUGUCAAGGUUGAGGCUAUUAGACCAAAAUGGUGGCCAGCUGAAUGGUUUCCAGAGAAUCGACAGUAUAGUGCGGUUGCUUAGAAUGUUACCUCUGGAGGCAAGGGCCAAGGUUUCCAUGUUUCUUAACUUGAUCAAUCCUGCACAUUCUUUGCCUUUACUGCCAGUGCAGGUAUCUUACAUGGUAAAAAACUUGCAGCUUGUUUCGUGCUUCUCAAGAGAAAAAAUAGUUAAAUGCUUCUUGUAAUAUUUCUAUUACCCUCAUUAAUACAAGAAGAAUCAUGUCUAGAUAUAUUUUCUCAAAGCAAAUUGUACCAGUGAUCUGGAACAUCUGUGAUGAAAUUCUUGGUCCUCUGUAGAAGCAGG